AAGCUUCCAACUUUCGACUAAUGCAUGGUAGGCAUUUCUAGUCUCGUUUUUAAUUAUUUUUAUAUUUUCGGGAUCGUUAUUGCUUAAUCUAUCUAAUGAGGGGGCUAUUUUCCAAAACCAUUGAAUAGUUUGAUAUUUUCCAUUGAUGAGUAUAAUAGGGUUUUGAAGUUUAAUGGAAGAAUAUGAGUCCUUGUUGAUAGUUAAACACUUUUUGUUAAGUGAAUUUUUGUGAAAUUGACAAUUAAGGGCUAAAUUGAUAAAUGUGAAAACUUUGUCGUUAAAAUGUCAAAUAAAUGAAAUGUGUGGGCUGCUAGAGACACUAGUGAUAUUCUUCUAUAGUAGAAUUUUACUCAAUUUCAUGAAUUUGCAUUUUUAUGAUAUAGUGACUAAAUUGUAAAGAAGUUGAAAUAUUAGGGGCAAAACUAUAAUUUUUCCAUAAAGUGAAUUAUGGACUAUUUUGAUACCAUGAACAUUUGGCUAAGCUUAAUUAUGGUUAAAAUGAUUAAUUUGCAUGUUUUGAGCUCAGGGACUAAAAUGAAUAAAAGUAAAACUUUAGGGGUAAUUUUUUAAAAAUGACAAAAAUGACCAAAUUGUAUGAAAUGAGGUGUUUUACUGUCUAAAUUAAUAUAUUGAAUGAAAUUGUUAAUUUAGAUCAAGAUCGGGUGGAAAAUCGAGGAAAAUGAGAAAAUUACCAAAAUACCCCUGAACUUUGGUAUCUCUACAAUUUAGCCAGGUAAGUUCGUAUGCAAUAAGCAUUGUUAAAUUUAUGUUUCUAAUGCUUUGAUAUCAUAAAAAUUGUAUAUACGUGAAUAUUUUAAUGUCUGACGACAUAUCGACAAAAUGUGGCACUUAGUGUGCGGGGUAAUCAAAUAUGGUACUCAGUGUACGAAAUAUUGAGAAUGACACUUAAUGUGCGAGAUAUUGAGAAUGACACUUAGUGUGCAAAAUAUUGAAUGAUUAAAUAGAGAAAAGUGAACAGGUAUACAUGCUAUAUUAUAUGAAUUGCUUAUGAGACGACUUUAUAAUGGUGUUAUAUCUGGGCUAAGUCCCGAAGGCAUUCGUGUUGGUGUUAUAUCCGGGCUAAGUCCUGAAGGCAUUCGUGCUGGUGGUAUAUCUGGGCUAAGUCCCGAAGGCAUUCGUGCUGGUGUUAUAUCCGGGCUAAGUCCCGAAGGCAUUCGUGCUGGUGUUAUAUCCGGGCUAAGCCCCGAAGGCAUUCGUGCUGGUGUUAUAUCCGGGCUAAAGUCUGCAGGCUUUGUGCUGGUAUUAUAUCCGGGCUUAAAGUCCCGCAUGCUUUGUGGUGGUGAUUGGAUUUGGGUUUUAAACCUAGCAGACUUAAUGCCGAUGAUUGGAGUAAGAUUAUGAUUUUGAAUGUUCGUAGUAAACUACCAUUGAAUAUGUUCAAUGCAUUAAGUUGGUCAGGUAUGUAUUAUAUACUUUUAUAUGUUAGAUUGAUCGGAAUUGAAUCAUGAAUGCGAAAUGAGAAGUAUAUGUGAAAAUCUCAUAUGUGUAUGUGUGUAUUCGGUUAUGGUGAAAGGUUACAUGAGAUUGAUUUGGUGAUAUACAUGUUAAAUAAUAUGAAUGCAAAGAAUGUGUAAUAAAUCUGCUUGGGACAGCAGCAGUAACGUGAUUUCGGAAAAUCACCAUAAAUUGUGGGAGUUGAGUUAGAGGCUGAAUAAAUUAUGUCAUGAAAUCUUAAUGAGUCUAGUUUCUUAUAAAAGAAACCGUGUAAGCAAAAGAAUUUCCAAUAAUGAGAUAUUUGAAGUGGCAUGGAACAGAGUCAAAAUGACGUCGAGGUCUCUUAUUCUGUUUUCAGAAAAUCAUUAUAAAUGGUACAAAAAUGGUUAUAAGAUAAAAUUUAUAUUCUUAGACUCCUUAAUGAGUCUAGUUUCAAAUGAAAUAAACAAUAACAUAUUUUGAAUUCUGUAUAAUGAGAAUUUUGAUUCGUAGUUAAGAGUGGUCAGAAUAGUCAAACAGUGAAACAGGGGAAAAAUUCAAGAAAAAUAUGGUAUUGAUUGAUAAAACCAAAAAUUCUGAAAAUUUUAUGGAUGGAAGACAUAUGAGUCUAUUUUCAGGGAAAAUUAAUGGCACUCUAUUUGGAGUUUCUUAGCUCCAGUUAUAAAUAAUUUAGUGACUAUUGCUCAGGAAGACAGCUUGUAGUGAAUUUGUGAUUUUGUUGCAAACAUGGUUAAAACUUGUUAAUGAGAUGCUUUUUGAGUUCUUAUGAUCUUAUUUUUUAUUUCAAUAUUUGGUUUUAAUUCAGUUUAGAUUCAAGUGAGGUGAAUUUGCUACAUAUGCAUUAUGUUCAUGGAUACUUGGCCAAAAUGGAAAUUAUCUAGGAAUGAUUUCUUGAAAAUUUGAAUAAUCGAUCUAUAAGUAAAUUAAUUGUUUGCAUUGCUUAAAACUUACUAAGCAUUGAAGCUUACUCCGUGUUCUCUUUUCCAUUUUUUAUAGGUUUAUACUUUAGCUCGAGUUGGAAGGGCCGGAGAUAUCAUCACACUAUCGAGUCAUUAUGUGAGUUGAGAAGAUUGUAUAUCAUCAUGGUUUAAGGCAUGUAUAGGAUAGACUAUAGGUAGAAUGAUAUUUCGACUUGUAUACAUUAUAGCCAUGCGAAGAUGGCUUGCUCGUUUUGUUUAGAAAAGCCUUAUAAUUGAACUAAUGUGGUGAAAUGUUUUAGUUAUAACUUGAUAGUAUUUAAAUUGUUAUUAGAUAUUCAGUUAUGUUUUGAUAGUGAGUCAUUUUGGAAAUUUAUAAGAGCUCCUAUGGAAAAUCAAUGAGACAUGUUUACAUUGUUGAUAAUUUAUGUCUGGUAAGUAUCUUUGACCUUAUAGAAGUUUUGUUCAGUCAAGUAAUACCUCAUAACCUUAUUCCGGCGACAGAUACGGGUUAGGAGUGUUACAUUUAGUGGUAUCAGAGCUAUGGUUUAGUCGAUUCUCGGACUAACCUAGCGUAUGUGAGUCUAGCUAUACAUGCCAUAUUACUACUCGUGAUAGUAUGACAUCUCCCGGCUCUAACAAAAUUGUUUUGUAAGAUAGAUAUGCUUUCCAACCGAGCUAAUUCUGAUAGUACAGAAUGUUAUACUCAAACGUUUGAUUGAAAAUAUGUUGGUGAUGAGUUGAAACUCAUAAAAGGUAUGAAUCAGAAUGCAUGAUAUUCUGCUAUUGAUAAAUGUUAUAAUUAUAUGAGUAUAUGAGUUGUGAUGUUGGGUAUAUAAUUGUUGUGUGAAUAUUUUGAUUUGGAAUUUAUGAUUUGAUUUAGUGUAUGAGCUAUGUGUUAAGUACCAAGUGAUCAUAAGUAAAUGAUUGCUAGAUGUUUGAGAAUGUGGAAUUAGUAAUGAACUUUUCGUUCAUAAUAGUAUGUGUGAUGUGCAUGCUUACGUAAGAGUUAAAAUUGUUGGCUUUACAACCCGCACCCCCUCAUUGGUAAAGCAUUGUAAUGAGAUCCGUACUAUAUGGCUUAAAUAAGCUGUAACACCCCAAACCCGGCCUAGACGUUAUGACCGGAUCCGGUGCGCCACAUCGAUGCGUGCAAAACGUUCCGUUUUACUUAGUUUGGAAAACUUAGUUGGGGUUGUAUAAGAUACUUUUUAAAGCAGGUUAAGGUGAAUAGAGGCUGUGCACCAGGUAGGAAACCAGGAAGAAGAGGAGGUGAGUCUGUCGGACUGCUUAAGUACCAAGCUCCCUUCGGAUCCAAUCCUAGACAUGCAUACCACCAUUGCCACACCUAACGACUCGUAUAAUUGUGAGAAAACCGUCUGGUUAUGUCUAUCUUUAAGAAAAUGAUUAAGUUUAAAAACGUUUGCUUAGCGGAAGUCUUACUUGUAAUCGUGUUAUUUUGAAAUCCCUUAAUGUUUUUGAAAACACGUCCUAAAGCUAACCCAUUUUCCUUAGUCAUCAUAGUUUUUUUCAUCAUAGUAAAAUAAAAUAAUAAAAAUAAAACAAAACCAUAAAAAUAAUUAAAAGGCCUUAUUACACUUAAAACCCAAAACCAUAGAUGAAAUUAAAGGACGUCCAGUUCACCAGAAAGAAACCAGGUUCGUAGAAACAUGUGGCCAGUCCAAAUCCCUCACAGCUCAAAGCCCACUAUGGUUGAGGAUUACCUGCGAGGAUGAAAAUAAGGGGUGAGUUUUGGAAAAAUCAGUGUGUAAUUCAACCCAACCAUAGCCUAAAUCAGUUCAAACCACAGAGACAGAAUAAGUUGGCCUCAGCCCAGAACAGAUAUCAGAAUAAAGCCCAUAGGCCUAGAACAGAUCAGAAUAGAUAUAUCAUGCUUAUGCAGAAACCCAACCAUAUCCAACCACAUACACCCCCAUACCAUCCUUUCACCAUGUGGGGAGACUACUCGACCCACCCAACCGCUACACGCCACAGAAAUAUGCAGCAUGGCUGCCAAAUACAGAAAAUGUGGCAGAGUCACCAGAUACAGAUAUUUUGUGGCAGUGCCACCAGAACAGAUAAUUUGUGGCAGGGCAACCAGAACAGAUUAUUUGUGGCAUAGCCACCAGGACGCUUCCGCCAUAAUAUAACCCAUGUCCCCAUGCAACAGAUAUACAUUCAUGGCAUACAUCAUACAUAUUUAAUUCAUCAUGCUUUUCAGACAAAAUUAACCCUAGGGUUAUAAAGGUCAUUUUGCAUACAUAGAGGUAUAAUGGUAAUUUUGCAUACAUAGGGGUAUUCUAGUAAAUCUAACUAUUUCUAAGGUUUUCAUGCAUAUCGUAGCUAUUACGUUUAGCCAAAAACACUUACCGAGCAUUCUUACCGAAUUGGGCCCGUUGGCCCAUUAACCCAAUUUUGGCCCAUUAAGCCCAAAAUAUCAAAACGCACGAAAUCGCGCGUACUACAGUUUUAUCACUUCCUAUUACCAGUAAUAAUUACCCAUACGUCUCACGAGCAUUCGCACACUCACAAGCGCCCAAAAUACCAGUUUUUCGGUAUUUCAGCUUUUCGGCUUUUGCCGAUCUAGGCUAUGAAAGGGUGUCAAUUACACACCUGAUUUGUGACGACUUGCUGACAAGAUCCACGCAUGAACUGCCUACAAUUACGUUGCUACAAUUCUUAGAUCGCAAAUCACAACACUAAUCUCCAUAAUUACUUACCCAUAUUCGACUCUGUCCCUAAAAGCCUUUAAAACUUUACCUUCUUGCCGAAAUCCGAUGGCUAGAUCCAAGUCUGAUCGCUCCAAAGAUCCAAGCCUUCGAUCCAACCCUUGAGAAGACACUAGUCAUCAAAAUAAAUCAUCGGUUAAAGACCCUUUAUGCCCUAUGCCCAAAUCGAUAGCCUCCCUAGAUUUUAGGGACUUCGGCUUUUCCUAACUUGAAAAAUAAGACUAGAUUUGGAGUGAUGAGCACUUACCACUUAUUCCUUCCUGCUUUCCACAUAGAUCUGAUGCAGAUUCAACCUUUAAACGAUGGUAAAACUUGAAUCUAGAAGCUUUGAAGUUUCGGCUACAAGUCCCUAACUGUAUAGUAGUUUCGGCUUUUCUAGGUGAUAUAGAAAAUAAUGAUUUGAGGCUAUAACCCUGGGUAAUGUUGUCGACAGAUGCUAGGGGUUUAGAGGAGAGGAAUGUUGGUCAAAAAGGAAAACAUAUUGAGGAAUAUGGCUUUGGAAAAACGGCACAAGAAUAUAGCUUUCAGGAUUUUGAGAUUUGAGGUUCGGCUUUAGUCUAAGAAAAUUAAUGGAGGAAAGUGAUGUAGAGUAGGGUGGGGAUGGACAGGAGGUUUGAAAGGUUCGGCUAUGGAGAAAGAGAAUAAGAAGAAAGCAAAAAUGGCUAAAGGGAGAAGGUGAGAAAAGCAGCAAACAGCACAACUCCCUCCCUAUUGCCGAAUUUAUACUGGCACUUUAACCUAGCCGAAUUUACCCCUCUAAAGAAACCCUUGGCCAGCCACCUCUUGCUCCUCAAGAGUCAAAAAUUCGGCCAACACAGCUCACCCCUAUCAGCUCCUAGAUUUCCUCCCUUAUCUCUAUCCUUAUUCAAUCCCCUUACCCUCUUAAACUCUUCCUGACAGACUUUUAUUUCAGUUCCAUCACUUCCCUUUCCUGUACAUAAAAAUUAAUCACUUAAUUUGCUGUCAUUAUGACUUGAACCUGGGUCCUCCCCAAGCUUCCACACGCCAUUACAUCCUUCCCAGUGGCGUCACAUGCCACUUUACCACUUGCUUCCUUGUGAUCCAUUUUCACAAUUAAUUCCUAAAAGCCCAAUUUAUCAGAACCCCUUUCUCUUAUAGAAUUAAAUUUAAUUAAAACUACCGUGUUUUAUCCUAAGCUUGGGCCUUCUAGAGGCCCACCAACAUGAUUAAUCCUACACAUAACAAACAGAACAUAGAAUUUUAAAUUUUACAACUUUUAUAGAAUUCCCAAAAAUUGGGGCGUUACAACUCUACCCUCCUUAAAGAAAUUUCGUCCUCGAAAUUUACCUGAUCCGAACAGAUGAGGGUAUUGUUGUUGCAUUGCCUCCUCUAGCUCCCAAGUAGCUUCUUCUCUGCCAUGGUUAUGCCAAUGCACUUUCACUAAUGGUACCAAUUUCCUCCUUAGAACCUUAACGUCUCGAUCCAAUAUUUCUAUAGGCUCCUCCUCAAAGGUCAAAUCAGUUCGCACCUCAAUUUCUGCAACCGGCACGACAUGAGUAGGGUCAGAACGAUAGCGCCUUAACAUGGAGACGUGAAAAACAUCGUGAAUCCUGUCUAGCUCUGGAGGCAACUCCAACUGAUAAGCCACUGGGCCUACUCGCUUCAAAACCCGAUAAGGCCCAAUGAACCGCGGACUCAACUUGCCAUUCUUACCAAACCUUAGUAUCUUCUUCAAAGGUGAAACCUUCAAGAAGACCAUAUCGCCCACUGAGUAUUCAAUCUCCUUACGCUUCAGAUCUGCAUACGACUUUUGCCUAUCAGACGCUUCCUUUAACUGAUCUCUAAUUAACUUGACCUUAUCCUCAGUAUCUGCCACCAACUAAGGUCCAAGAACUUGUCGCUCCCCCAGUUCAGUCCAACAACUAGGUGUUUGACACCUUCGCCCAUACAGUGCUUCAUAAGGUGCCAUUCGAAUACUCGACUGAUAACUAUUGUUGUAUGCAAACUCUGCCAAAGGCAAGUAAUCCCCCCCAACUACCUUGGAAAUCAAUAACACAUCCCCUCAACAUGUCUUCUAGAAUCUGAAUAACUCUUUCCGAUUGACCAUCAGUUUGGGGAUAGAAAGCCGUACUAAAGUUCAAUCGCGUUCCCAACGCCUCAUGCAACUUUUGCCAAAACCGAGAUGUGAAUCUAGGAUCCCGAUCAGAGAUAAUCGAAAUCGAAACUCCAUGCAGUCGCACAAUCUCUGCCACAUACAACUUGGCUAACUUCUGAAGAGAAAAGUCUGUUCGAACAGGUAUAAAAUGAGCCGACUUGGUCAACCUAUCCACAAUCACCCAUAUCGAGUCUUUCUUCGAUGGUGACAAGGGUAGCCCACUCACAAAAUCCAUGGUUACCCUCUCCCACUUCCAAAGUGGUAUUUUUACUGGCUGCAAUAAUCCAGAAGGUAACUGAUGCUCAGCUUUCACUUGCUGGCAUGUCAGACAUUUCCCCACAAAUUCGGUUACCUCUCACUUAAGUCCAGGCCACCAAUACAGUUCUCGCAAGUCAUGGUACAACUUAUUCUCUCCAGGAUGCAUGACACAAAGUCCCCUAUGAGCUUCCUUCAAAAUUGACUGUCUCAAGUCAGAGUCCUUCGGAACACAAAUUCUUCCUCGGAAACACAGAACCCCUUCAUCAUUUAUCCCAUACUCAGAAGUUUCCCUUUCCUUAACUUGUUGAAAACGAGGGACCAAAGACUCAUCUUUCAACUGCUUUUCCUUAAUCUGAUCCACCCAGGUUGGCCUUACUUGCAAUUCAGCCAACAGACUUCCAUCAUCAUACAGACUUAGACGAGCAAACAUUGCUCUCAGAUCAGAUACAGCUCUACGACUUAGAGCAUCGGCUACCACAUUAGCCCUGCCUGGGUGAUAUUCGAUUGAAUAAUCAUAAUCCUUAAGCAACUCGAUCCAUCUCCUUUGCCUAAGGUUCAGUUCCUUCUGAGUCAGCAAAUACUUGAGACUCUUAUGAUCUGUGUAUAUAAUACACCUUUCUCCAUACAAGUAAUGUCUCCAGAUUUUCAGUGCAAAGAUCACUGCUGCUAACUCCAAAUCAUGAGUAGGAUAGUUCCCUUCGUGAGGCUUAAGUUGUCGAGACGCAUAAGCAACCACCUUACCCUCUUGCAUCAACACACAACCCAAACCUACGUGUGAUGCAUCACUGUACACAGUAAAAUCUUUUCCAGACUCUGGUUGAAUUAACACAGGUGCUUCAGUCAGAACUUUCUUCAACCUCUCAAAAGCUUCUUGCUUCUUCUCCGUCCAAACAAACGGUACUCCUUUCCUUAUAAGUUUUGUGAGAGGUGCUGUCAUCACAGAAAAACCUUCCACAAACCUUCUGUAGUAACCUGCCAAUCCUAGGAAACUUUGAAUUUCUAAAACCGACCUAGGUGGCUUCCAUUCCAAAAUUGCUUCAAUCUUUCAAGGAUCCACUCUAAUCCCCUCUGCAGAGACCACAUGCCCCAAAAAGGUUACCUCCCUCAACCAGAACUCACACUUGCUGAACUUCGCAUAAAGUUCCUUCUCCCUUAACACUUGUAACACAGUACGGAGAUGCUCAUCAUGUUUUGCUUCGGUCUCAGAAUAUACCAGAAUAUCGUCAAUAAGGACGACCACGAACCGAUCCAGAAAUGGUUGGAACACACGAUUCAUCAGAUCCAUAAACGCUGCAGGAGCAUUUGUUAGUCCAAAUGGCAUAACCAGAAACUCAUAAUGACCAUAACGAGUCCUCAAUGCUGUCUUAUGAAUAUCUGCUUCCUUGACCCUUAGCUGAUGAUAUCCAGAUCGAAGAUCGAUCUUGGAAAAUACAGAAGCUCCUUUAAGCUGAUCGAACAGAUCGUCAAUCCUUGGCAGAGGGUACUUAUUCUUAAUCGUUAGUUUGUUCAACUGGCGAUAGUCAAUGCACAUGCGCAUCGUCCCAUCCUUCUUCUUCACGAAUAGCACCGGUGCUCCCCAUGGAGACACACUUGGCCUAAUAAAGCCCCUAUCCAACAAUUCUUGAAUUUGCGCCUUUAGCUCCACUAACUCCUUUGGUGCCAUCCUAUAUGGUGCAAUGGACACUGGUGCUGUCCCAGGCAACAGGUCGAUUCCAAAUUCGACUUCCCGAUUUGGAGGAAAUCCCGGAAACUCCUCCGGAAAGACAUCUUGGAACUCUUUUACAGUUCUAACCUUAUCCACUGUCAGCCCCUCUACAUCUGUUUGACUUACAAAUGCCAAAUAGGCCUCACACCCUUUUCGAAUCCACUUUUCCGCCCUCAAUGCCGAUAUUACAUUAGACAAAUAGUCCAUUCACUCACCUAUCACCAUAACCUCAUCCACUUCUGUGGUCCUUAGCACCAUUCGCUUAGCAGCACAGUCCAGAGUCGCCUUAUGCUUAACACUCCAGUCCAUUCCCAGAAUGAGAUCAAACUCUCCAAACGGCAACUCCAUUAGAUCGCCAGGAAAGAUCCUACCUUGAGUUUCUAAGGGUACAUCCUUAUACAGCUUGUCUACCCUAACCGAUUGACCCAAGGGACUUAGCACAGAUACCCCACUCACUAUCUUCUCAGAAUGCACUCCCAAAGACCCAGAUAUGGCACACGCAACAUAAGAAUGAGUAGAUCCAAUAUCCACCAAGGCAGUAUACGGCAUAUUAGAAACUAAGAACGUACCAGUUAUGACAUCAGGUGCGUCGCCCUCCUCUCGACGACGAGCUGCAUACACCAACGUUGGCUGUCGAGCCUCAGCAUUUCUGGCUCCCCUUCCAGGCGCUCCUCGACCUUGACCAUUUCCAUUCCCAUUUUCGCCCCUACCUUGUCCACGUCCUCUCGGUGGUUGUGGUCCACCUCUCAUGGGUUGAACAACCCUCUGUACAGCAACCUGAGCCUGAUCAGCUUUCUGUGGACAGUCCUUAACUCUGUGCUCCAUAGAUCCGCAUCGGAAAUAAGCACCAGAACGUUUCCUACACUCACCCAGGUGUACCUCCACAGUCCCCACAGAUUGGCGGUCUAACCACAUUCAUCGGAACGGCUCGAACUGGCUCCUCCACUCUCGCCCUUUUGGCAUUCUUGUUUGCUCCACCCGAAGGUCCAGAAUCCCUCCGGAAACGGUUCCGAUCUUUCUCACGGUUUUGCCUCUCAGUACGCUUUACCUCCUCAGCGAUCUUAGCUUUUUCCACCAGAACCGCGAAGUCACGCUCCCUCUGCGGAGCAAUCAGCACCUUGAGGUCAUCUCUGAGUCCAUCCUCAAAGCAAACUCUACGCUCAUACUCCGUAGCAACUAUUCCCACAGCAUACCUACUCAGCCUCAGAAAUUCAGCCUCGUACUCCGCAACAGUUUUGCCUCAUUGGACCAAAUUUAGGAAUUCUUUCCUACGGGCGUCCACAUAACUUGCCCCGAUGUACUUUCCUUUAAAGGCUGUCUUAAACAGCUCCCAAGUAACCCUAUCAGCUGGGGUUCCAUCCCUUACGGUGAGCCACCACUGAUAAGCCUCAUCUCGCAGUAACGAUACGGCCCCCUUCAGCUUCUGCUCCAUAGAACAGUCCAAGUCAUCCAUAAUUCGUUCCGUGGCCUCCAACCAAUAUUCUGCCACAUUCGGGGCUACACCAGAUACGCCCCUAAAGAUCUCCGCUCCAUUAGCCCGGAGUCAUUCAGAAAUCGACCUUCGAAUUCCGUUGCCCGAACUUGCCCCGGCAACCCUUUCCAGAACUCGAAGCAUUGCCUGCGACAGGGCGUCAUCCCCGGCACCAUGAUCAUCAGAUUCCACUUUCGUUGCCGAAGGUACCAGUGCUUCUACCGCUGGCAUAUGUCCUUAAGACGAAGAUCCCGCUCGAGCUCUUCCUCGGCCUCGUCCACGGCCUCUACCUCAAGCUGCUCGCGUACUCAUUUCGUAUAAUCUAAUUACUAAUUUUAUGCAUUAAUAUCAUUCCAAUGUUUAUUACAGAUGUUUUAUGAUUCAGAUAGUAAUUUAGAAUUGGUUUUCGCAGAAUCAAUGUCCAGCUACAGUCUCAGUCUUUUAGCAAGCUUUUCUAGGGUUUCAGUAGCAUCCUAUCUAGAGUAUUCUAGUAAAGUUUCAGUACAGACAGAUAAUUCAGAAUAUAUUCAGAAAAAUUCAGAAUACUUACAAGCUUGGGCCAGAGAUUCGGAAUGCCACUCACUGUUCCAGAUUUUGAAAACAGAGUUUUACAGUCUCCAAAAACUUUUUUUUUUUCAAAAACUUUGUUAUUGUAAACCUAAUCCACAGCCGAGUUGUUGCAACCUAGGCUCUGAUACCACUAAAUGUAACACCCCAAACCCGACCUAGACGUUAUGACCGGAUUCGGUGCGUCACAUCGAUGCGUUCAAAAUGUUCCAUUUUACUCAGUUUGGAAAACUUAGUUGGGGUUUUAUAAGAUACUUUUUAAAGCAGGUUAAGGUGAAUAGAGGUUGUGCACCAGGUACGAAACCAGGAAGAAGAGGAGGUGAGUCCAUCGGACUGCUUAAGUACCAAGCUCCCUUCGGAUCCAAUCCUAGACAUGCACACCACCAUUGCCACACCUAAUGACUCGUAUAAUUUUGAGAAAACCAUCUGGUUAUGUCUAUCUUUAAGAAAAUGAUUAAGUUUAAAAACGUUUGCUUAGCGGAAGUCUUACUUGUAAUCGUGUUAUUUUGAAAUCCCUUAAUGUUUUUGAAAACACGUCCUAAAGCUAACCCAUUUUCCUUAGUCAUCAUAGUUUUUUUCAUCAUAGUAAAAUAAAAUAAUAAAAAUAAAACAAAACCAUAAAAAUAAUUAAAAGGCCUUAUUACACUUAAAACCCAAAACCAUAGAUGAAAUUAAAGGACGUUCAGUUCACCAGAAAGAAACCAGGUUCGUAGAAACAUGUGGCCAGUCCAAAUCCCUCACAGCUCCAAGCCCACUAUGGUUGAGGAUUACCUGCGAGGAUGAAAAUAAGGGGUGAGUUUUGGAAAAAUCAGUGUGUAAUUCAACCCAACCAUAGCCUAAAUCAGUUCAAACCACAGAGACAGAAUAAGUUGGCCUCAGCCCAGAACAGAUAUCAGAAUAAAGCCCAUAGGCCCAGAACAGAUCAGAACAGAUAUAUCAUGCUUAUGCAGAAACCCAACCAUGUUCAACCACAUACACCCCCAUACCAUCCUUUCACCAUGUGGGGAGACUACUCGACCCACCCAACCGCUACACGCCACAGAAAUAUGCAGCAUGGCUGCCAGAUACAGAAAAUGUGACAGAGUCACCAGAUACAGAUAUUUUGUGGCAGUGCCACCAGAACAGAUAAUUUAUGGCAGGGCCACCAGAACAGAUUAUUUGUGGCAUAGCCACCAGGACGCUUCCUCCAUAAUAUAACCCAUGUCCCCAUGCAACAGAUAUACAUUCAUGGCAUACAUCAUACAGAUUUAAUUCAUCAUGCUUUUCAGACAAAAUUAACCCUAGGGGUAUAAAUGUCAUUUUGCAUACAUAGGGGUAUAAUGGUAAUUUUGCAUACAUAGGGGUAUUCUAGUAAAUCUAACUAUUUCUAAGGUUUUCAUGCAUAUCGUAGCUAUUACGUUUAGCCAAAAACACUUACCGAGCGUUCUUACCGAAUUGGGCUUGUUGGCCCAUUAACCCAGUUUUGGCCCAUUAAGCCCAAAAUAUCAAAACGCACGAAAUCGCGCGUACUGCAGUUUUAUCACUUCCUAUUACCAGUAAUAAAUACCCAUACAUCUCACGAGCAUUCGCACACUCGCAAGCGCCCAAAAUACCAGUUUUUCGGUAUUUCAACUUUUCGGCUUUUGCCGAUCUAGCCUAUGAAAGGGUGUCAGUUACACACCUGAUUUGUGACGACUUGCUGACAAGAUCCACGCACGAACUACCUACAAUUACGUUGCUACAAUUCUUAGAUUGCAAAUCACAACACUAAUCUCCAUAAUUACUUACCCAUAUUCGACUCUGUCCCUAAAAGCCUUUAAAAUUUUACCUUCUUGCCGAAAUCCGAUGGCUAGAUCCAAGUUUGAUCGCUCCAAAGAUCCAAGCCUUCGAUCCAACCCUUGAGAAGACACUAGUCAUCAAAAUAAAUCAUCGGUUAAAGACCCUUUACGCCCUAUGCCCAAAUCGAUAGCCUCCCUAGAUUUUAGGGACUUCGGCUUUUCCUAACUUGAAAAAUAAGACUAGAUUUGGAGUGAUGAGCACUUACCACUUAUUCCUUCCUCCUUUCCACGUAGAUCUGAUGCAGAUUCAACCUUUAAACGACGGUAAAAUUUGAAUCUAGAAGCUUUGAAGUUUCGGCUACAAGUCCCUAACUGUAUAGUAGUUUCGGCUUUUCUAGGUGAUAUAGAAAAUAAUGAUUUGAGGCUAUAACCCUGGGUAAUGUUGUCGAUAGAUGCUAGGGGUUUAGAGGAGAGGAAUGUUGGUCAAAAAGGAAAACAUAUUGAGGAAUAUGGCUUUGGAAAAACGGCACAAGAAUAUAGCUUUUGGGAUUUUGAGAUUUGAGGUUCGGCUUUAGUCUAAGAAAAUUAAUGGAGGAAAGUGAUGUAGAGUAGGGUGGAGAUGGAUAGGAGGUUUGAAAGGUUCGGCUAUGGAGAAAGAGAAUAAUAAGAAAGCAAAAAUGGCUAAAGGGAGAAGGUGAGAAAAGCAGCAAACGGCACAACUCCCUCCCUAUUGCCGAAUUUAUACUGGCACUUUAACCUAGCCGAAUUUACCCCUCUAAAGAAACCCUUGGCCGGCCACCUCUUGCUCCUCAAGAGUCUAAAAUUCGGCCAACACAGCUCACCUCAAUCAGCUCCUAGAUUUCCUCCCUUAUCUCUAUCCUUAUUCAAUCCCCUUACCCUCUUAAACUCUUCCUGACAGACUUUUAUUUCAGUUCCAUCACUUCCCUUUCCUGUACAUAAAAAUUAAUCACUUAAUUUACUGUCAUUGUGACUUGAACCUGGGUCCUCCCCAAGCUUCCACACGCCACUACAUCCUUCCCAGUGGCGUCACAUGACACUUUACCACUUGCUUCCUUGUGAUCCAUUUUUCACAAUUAAUUCCUAAAAGCUCAAUUUAUCAGAACCCCUUUCUCUUAUAAAAUUAAAUUUAAUUAAAACUAUCGGGUUUUAUCCUAAGCUUGGGCCUUCUAGAGGCCCACCAACAUGAUUAAUCCUACACAUAACAAACAGAACACAGAAUUUUAAAUUUUACAACUUUUACAGAAUUCCCAAAAAUUGGGGCGUUACAUAAGCUUACAAGUGUGGAAUGAUAGAGUCUCAUAAUUGAAGGAUUAGUACUGUGAUCAGAUAAGAGAAUGAGUCCGCAAGUGAAGAUAGUAAAAGAAAAGAUAUUAGAUCAUGUUGAAGGCCAUUUGUAAUAUGCAAAGUCACUGUUAAAAGAAAAGUUGAAUUAGAUGAAACCAAAUAUUCAGGAUGAUAUCUAAAGAAUAUAUUAACAGGAAGUUCUUCCGAAUUGGCCUCUGCUAGUGUUGGGAUAAUGAGAAAUUAGUGAUGUCAGAGAUAGAUAGUAGAAUCAUAUUUGAAUUAUAAAGAUAUUUGAGCACAACAAUUAUAGUCGAAUGGUUUAUGAGAACUCUUCUGGGUAUGCUAUGUGUUCAAUUAUCCUCAGAGGUAUGUGAAGCUGUAUAUUUUCAGAUGAAAUUCUUAUCAUAUGAGAACGUUAUCUAAAUAUAUUGAUAUAUGAAAGCAUUGUUGGGCUGUUCGGGUUACAAUCAGCAUUAUUAUAUCUUUCUCUAGUAUUCUAUUUUGUUUUAUUGAAAGAAAAGAUCGAUGAUUAAACCUGUGUGAUGCUGGUAUUCUGCUCCUGCUGGUUAUUGAUCUGCUUAGUAUACAUGAAGAUUAUAUUGUUUCUGUUACUGUUGAUUCCGGUGCAUAUGAGUGACGCUUUACUACUGGAUUUCCUCUGAGACAUCAUUGAGAUAUCUGUCAUCUGAUAUGGGCUCUUUCUUAAAAAGAUCAGUAUAGUGAUAUAUUUGAGAAUUACAAUAUCUCUGCUUUCUUAUGAUUCUAUAUGGUUAUCUGUGAAAAAUAUCUAUUGAAUGAUUGUAAUUAUAUUUCAAUUUCUCUUAGGUUCAAAAUGCAUUAUUGAUAAUUGGGACAUUAUAUAUCUAUACGAUUGAGAUGUCAGCCUUAUUAUGGCACUAUGAUUUUAAUUUAUCUGAUGGUUGUGGCUUCAGUAUGGUUCAAAGCUUUGUUGAUUAAUAAUGGAAAAGUUAUUACUUGACAGUCGAGAUCGAUUCAAUUGUUUAGUUUGAUUAGAUUAAUUGCUUGAAGGAUUAAUCGAGUUACUUGUAUCUGAAUCUAUCCACAGGGUGGAAAUAAAGUUUGAAUGUUCACGGAUAAAUAGAUGAAUAUUCUGAAUGUAGGAUUCAUAUUCUAGAAGAUAUGAUACUGAAUUAUAUCCAUCAGAACGAUUUUAUUGAGAAAUGUUUUUAUAGAUCACGACUGGAAAGUUUGAAUGAUGUGAUAUUUAUCAAUAAAGUGGUAAACAGUUGAAGAAAUUGUUAAUUGAAGCGUCAGUUCUCAGGUAAAGAGUUAUUCGACACAAGAAUUAAAGAUGGUUUGAACUGUUGAAAGAUUAUGAGUCAGCAAUUGAUUAUCAAACUGGGCUAAUGAUUAUAGUCUUUGGGGUUCUGAGCGAGAAUCUUUAUGUGUUUUACGAUCGAUAAUCAUGUGAUUAAUCUUAUCAAAUGAUGAGUAGUUAUUGGCUGAGCUAGAAACUAAAUUGAUGUUUAAUUAGCAAAUUUGUGAGGCUAAGAGGUGUGUCAAUGAAUUACAAGUUAAAAAGGGUACAACGUAAAUUGAUUUCUGAUUUAGAAUUUCAGAUUGGAACCGACAAUUGUUCGUUGUGUCGAGAUAGAGUUCGUGUAUUGAGAAAUCCAGAGAUUUUACAACAAUUGUGACAUCUAGCACAGUGGUAAUUAUCUGUCCGUACAGGGAGUACUAAAAGAGUGCCAGUUUUCAUUGUUCAAAUGGAGACACGAGGAUUAUAUCGUGUUACUAAAAUAAACUAUUGUGAGCUUUGGAUAUGGAAUUACUUUGCAACACUGUGUUCUAGAACUUGAAAGCAACCGAGAAAGACAUUUAUUAUUGGUUAAGUUUGCGUAUAAUAAUAAUAGUUAUGAGAUGGAUGUUAAGAUAGCAUUGUAUGAGGGUGGUAUGGUUGCAAUCACUGAACUUCGUUGUAUUGAAUUGAAUUUUUAUAAAAAGAAUUUCGGGGUCGAUGUGCUUGGAAAGACUGAGGGGAAAUGAAAGUAAUUCAUGACCAUCAAAAAACAGUUUCAGAUUUGCAGAAAAUAUAUGUGGGCUUGAUGCGUAAAAGCUUUGAAUUUUCAAUUAGAAAAUUGAGUAUUUGUAAAGGUAUUAUAGUGGGAAUAGAAAUGAUAGAUUUAGCUAUAAAGAGAAGUUGAGUUCACAAUUCAUCGGAUUGAAUGAGAUUAUUAUCAAAACUUGAGAAGACCCGUAAUGUGUUUCUUAUAUAUAUAAUGUGAUGAUACAAAUAAUAUCCUUUAUCUAGGGUAUCUCUUACAGAAGUAGAAACUCAGCUUGUUAUGAUGUAUAGCAAAGAGCAGAUCAUAAUCUUAGCUCAUGAGAUUGAAAAGUUGAGAAAUCUGAGGCUAGGUGAGAAAUUGUUGAGGUUGGUGAAAGAAAAUCACUAAUUUAUUCUCUGGUAAGAUUUUCGGGGACGAAAAUCCCUAAGGGGGGAGAGUUGUAACAGUCCGUUUUUAGGGUUAAUCAGAACAGUGGUUUCGGGUCCACCAAAUCCGACGAGUAGGUUUGUAAAUAUUAUAUUUAAUAUUUACGAGCUAAUUGUGAUUUUAAAAAUAUAUAUUUUUGAUAUUGUGAUUUUUGUUUUAUAAACGAUUUAUUAAGUUUAAGUGGUAUGACCCUAAGGUCAAGUGGGUUUAGAAAAUGAGGUAUCAGGACCUUGUUUCUAUAAACCGAGUCGUAAAUAUUUUUAUAAAUAUUUACGUAGUGGCAAUAAGAUGGUAUUAAAGUUUCGUUGAAAAAUUUUAUCGUUUCGAUAGUUAAUUAAGCAAAAAGGACUAAAUUGCGUAAAGUGCAAAAGUUCUGUUCUAUAAGCUAAAGGUAUUAAAUAGAUAUAGAACUUAAAAGUGAAAGUCCUUGUUUGGUAAUUAGCCCAUUAAAGAGAUAGUGGGAUAUGAUGGCUUGGCAUUUGGUGUAAUAAAUAAAGUGUAUAAAGGUUGAUAUUGUAAAUUGGUUAAAAAUAAUAAUAAAAUGAAUAAAAUAAAAGAAUCAAGGUGUCAUCUUUUUCAUUCUCUUUUUACCAGCCAAAUAUGAAGCUUGAGAAGCCAUGGACGAAGCUUCCAACUUUCGGCUAAUGCAUGGUAGGCGUUUCUAGUCUCAUUUUUAAUUAUUUUUAUAUUUUCGGGAUCGUUGUUGCUUAAUCUAUCUAAUAAGAGGGCUAUUUUGCAAAACCAUUGAAUAGUUUGAUAUUUUCCAUUGAUGAGUAUAAUAGGGUUUUGAAGUUUAAUGGAAGAAUAUGAGUCUUUGUUGAUAGUUAAACACUUUUUGUUAAGUGAAUUUUUGUGAAAUUGACAAUUAAGGGCUAAAUUGAUAAAUGUGAAAACUUUGUGGUUAAAAUGUCAAAUAAAUGAAAUGUGUGGGCUGCUAGAGACACUAGUGAUAUUCUUCUAUAGUAGAAUUUUACUCAAUUUCAUGAAUUUGCAUUUUUAUGAUAUAGGGACUAAAUUGUAAAGAAGUUGAAAUAUUAUGGGCAAAACUAUAAUUUUCCCAUAAAGUGAAUUAUGGACUGUUUUGAUACCAUGAACAUUUGGCUAAGCUUAAUUAUGGUUAAAAUGGUUAAUUUGCAUGUUUUGAGGUCAGGGACUAAAAUGAAUAAAAGUAAAACUUUAGGGGUAGUUUUGUAAAAAUGACAAAAAUGACCAAAUUGUAUGAAAUGAGGUGUUUUACUGUCUAAAUUAAUAUAUUGAAUGAAAUUGUUAAUUUAGAUCAAGAUCGGGUGGAAAAUCGAGGAAAAUAAGAAAAUUACCAAAAUACCCCUGAACUUUGGUAUCUCUACAAUUUAGCCAGGUAAGUUCGUAUGCAAUAAGCAUUGUUAAAUUUAUGUUUCUAAUGCUUUAAUAUCAUAUAAAUUGUAUAUAAGUGAAUUUUUUAAUGUCUGACGACAUAUCGACAAAAUGUGGCACUUAGUGUGCGGGGCAAUCAAAUAUGGUACUCAGUGUACGAAAUAUUGAGAAUGGCACUUAAUGUGCGAGAUAUUGAGAAUGGCACUUAGUGUGCAAAAUAUUGAAUGAUUAAAUAGAGCAAAGUGAACAGGUAUACAUGCUAUAUUAUAUGAAUUGUUUAUGAGACGACUUUAUAAUGGUGUUAUAUCCAGGCUAAGUCCCGAAGGCAUUCGUGUUGGUGUUAUAUCCGGGCUAAGUCUUGAAGGCAUUCAUGCUGGUGUUAUAUUCGGGCUAAGUCCCGAAGGCAUUCGUGCUGGUGUUAUAUCUGGGCUAAGGCCCGAAGGCAUUCGUGCUGGUGUUAUAUCCGGGCUAAAGUCCCGCAGGCUUUCUGCUGGUAUUAUAUCCGGGCUUAAAGUCCCGCAUGCUUUGUGGUGGUGAUUGGAUUUGGGUUUUAAACCUAGCAGACUUAAUGCCGAUGAUUGGAGUAAGAUUAUGAUUUCGAAUGUUCGUAGUAAACUACCAUUUAAUAUGUUCAAUGCAUUAAGUUGGUCAGGUAUGUAUUAUAUACUUUUAUAUGUUAGAUUGAUUGGAAUUGAAUCAUGAAUGCGAAAUGAGAAGUAUAUGUGAAAAUCUCAUAUUUGUAUGUGUGUAUUCGGUUAUGGUGAAAGGUUACAUGAGAUUGAUUUGGUGAUAUACAUGUUAAAUAAUAUGAAUGUAAAGAAUGUGUAAUAAAUCUGCUUGGGACAGCAGCAGUAACGUGAUUUUGAAAAAUCACCAUAAAUUGUGGGAGUUGAGUUAGAGGCUAAAUAAAUUAUGCCAUGAGAUCUUAAUGAGUCUAGUUUCUUAUAAAAGAAACCGUGUAAGCAAAAGAAUUUCCAAUAAUGAGAUAUUUGAAGUGGCAUGGAAUAGAGUCAAAAUGACUUCAAGGUCCCUUGUUUUAUUUUCAGAAAAUCAUUAUAAAUGGUACAAAAAUGGUUAUAAGAUAAAAUUUAUAUUCUUAGACUCCUUAAUUAGUAUAGUUUCAAAUGAAAUAAACCAUAACAUAUUUUGAAUUCUGUAUAAUGAGAAAUUUGAUUCGUAGUGAAGAGUGGUCAGAAUAGUCAAACAGUGAAACAGAGGAAAACUUCAAGAAAAAUCUGGUAUUGAUUGGUCAAACCAAAAAUUCUGAAAAUUCGAUGGAUGGAAGAUAUAUGAGUCUAUUUUCAGGGAAAAUUAACGGCACUUGAUUUGGAGUUUCUUAGCUCCAGUUAUAAAUAAUUUAGUGACUAUUGCUCAGGAAGACAGCUUGUAGUGAAUUUGUGAUUUUGUUGCAAACAUGGUUAAAACUUGUUAAUGAGAUGCUUUUCGAGUUUUUAUGAUCUUAUUUUUUAUUUCAAUAUUUGGUUUUAAUUCAGUUCAGAUUCAAAGUGAGGUGAAUUUGCUACAUAUGCAUUAUGUUCAUGGAUACUUGGCCAAAAUGGAAAUUAUCUAGGAAUGAUUUCUUGAAAAUUUGAAUAAUCGAUCUAUAAGUAAAUUAAUUGUUUGCAUUGCUUAAAACUUACUAAGCAUUGAAGCUUACUCCGUGUUCUCUUUUCCAUUUCUUAUAGGUUUAUACUUUAGCUCGAGUUGGAAGGGCCGAAGAUAUCAUCACACUAUCGAGUCAUUAUGUGAGUUGAGAAGAUUGUAUAUCAUCAUGGUUUAAGGCAUGUAUAAGAUAGACUAUAGGUAGAAUGAUAUUUCGACUUGUAUGCAUUAUAGCCAUGCAAAGAUGGCUUGCUCAUUUUGUUUAGAGAAGCCUUAUAAUUGAACUAAUGUGGUGAAAUGUUUUAGUUAUAACUUGAUAGUAUUUAAAUUGUUAUUAGAUAUUCGGUUAUGUUUUGAUAGUGAGUCAUUUUGGAAAUUUAUAAGAGCUCCUAUGGAAAAU
rnacentral:lncRNA from 1 species